rnacentral:rRNA from 1 species
UACGGCAGAGAUGUCGUAGCCGCUAGGUCUGUAUACAGGUGGUGCAUGGUUGUCGUCAGCUCGUGUCGUGAGAUGUUGGGUUAAGUCCCGCAACGAGCGCAACCCUCGUUCUGUGUUGCCAGCAUUUAGUUGGGGACUCACAGGAGACUGCCGGGGUUAACUCGGAGGUAGGUGGGAAUGACGUCAAAUCAUCAUGCCACUUAUGUCUUGGGCUGCACGCAUGCUACAAUGGCUGGUACAAACCGCUGCAAUACCGCAAGGUGGAGCGAAUCCGAGAAAGCCAGUCUCAGUUCGGAUUGGGGUCUGCAACACGACCCCAUGAAGUCGGAGUUGCUAGUAAUCGU